CAUGAUGUUUUGUAGAGUUUGGCGGCUGGUGGUGGGGCGGUAGUGGAGAUGAAAAAUGGAGAAGGAUGAACGAUUGUGCGAUUUUGGAUAUAUCCGAUCCAAUGCAACCCAUCUUUGGAGCCCGGCUCGACUUGGCUUGAGUAUGGAUAUGGAUAUGGGUUUUAUCUUGACGGGAUGGAUAUGGAUAUCGGUCGAUCUGACUAAUAUCUGAUCUAUUACCACUCCUACACAGCGGCAUCAGAGG
rnacentral:lncRNA from 1 species